GUGACAAUUUAAAAUCGUGCUGCACGGUAAUAUCUUGCAUGUGCAUUUCCCUGUGGAUAUAUUUUUUACAUCGACUCUUUUUGGAAUUGGCACAGCAAACAUCUACUUGGAAUCAUUUCUUAUAUUAUCUUUGCUGCAAGGACUUUUGUUUAAACGUUCCCUCCUUUGCAACAGACCAAAUGUUUUGCAACAGAGUUCGACUAAUGAAUACACCCCUGGCCGUACAGUACCGUUUCGGUUUAAUUCAACGUUGCACACUGUUCUGUCAUACUGAAAGCAACACUUGCUGAACAGGAAUCUAGAUCCUUCUAUCUUCAAGUAGCGAAUAGUAUGGAAGGAUUGUUUGAGGAGCUAGUGAGGCUGAAGGUCCACAGUGUCCCCAGUAUCGGGUGAAGGAGUUCUUGGAGUCCCUGUCCAACAAGAGCUCAAAGGCACUGCAGGAGUUCAACCAGCAGGCAGGUGUUAUCACUACAACCACCACCAUGGUUUACCAGCAGGGGGUCAACUGCAUCUACAUAGACAGCAACGAGGUGGCUGGGUCACUGUUGGAACUGUCUGUCUGGUACAGGUGUCCCAGCAGAAGGUGAUGUCAUGACAGCAGCAGCUCUCGCCCCAUAUGACCACAGCCGCAAGGCCAAGACAUAAUACAGGGGGGUCACCAUGAAGAUGAUCCUAACAUGCUGCUCCCACACCAUCCUCCAGAAGUCAGCCAUGGUGCUGCGCAAAGGACCCUGGCUACAGAUUAAGUCUGGCUCUGUACAGCCCCCUGAAAAGCAGACCGCUGACUUGAUGAAUGGAUAUAUGGACAGACAGAGUACUUACAGGGACAUAAACUAGCGUUCAUAUAGCUUCACUCUACAGUGGUAAUCUGAAAUCACAGGGACUGUUAUUAAUCAACGUGACCAGAAAGUGGGAAGCAUUACCGAACAUGGGAGAGAUGUGAAGGAUGUGUUCAUGGAUGUGGUGGUGCUAUGAUAUGGUGUGCGCUGUAAUACUCUCAAGGCAGUAUGUAGGGGUAUCUGUUCUCUCUGUUAACCUUCCAGGUCUUCAGCCCUGGUAGUGAGUUCUUUACCAUCAUCCAGCUCCUGAAGAAUAAACAGCUAAUGGGACACUAUGAAACAGCCACAGCAGACACUACACAGACUCCAAAGCACAAUCAUCUACUGUAUGGUGUGGUCUCACAAGACUGAUGGCCUAGAUUAGUGAGUUUGGUUUACCUCAAACUGCCCUUGGCAGCGAGUGAUUGAAAGCACAGGUGGAAUUCCUGUAGUUUAUGUGCCCGUCAAAGAACACUUAUUUGAUGUGGAAACAUGGCAACAGUCUUCAGCCGAUUAAAACGUGUUUUUUAAACAAAGUGGUGUUUUUACAAGUGACUACACCCAUAAUGUUCUUAAUUCCAUCAUUCCAUGCUUCUGGGUUGGACUUGAGAAAACAACAAUAGGCUAAAACACUUCACUAACAGCACUCAGUUACUGUAUAUCAACUAAUGAAAGGUUACUUUUCUCUUCCAUAUUUUAGCAGAUGCUCUCAUCCAUCAUCGACGCCAGGACAGCGGAGUCAAUCACCACCUUCCGGAGACACCUGAAACCCCACCUCUUUAAGGAAUACCUAGGAUAGGAUAAAGUAAUCCUUCUCA